rnacentral:lncRNA from 1 species
AUCGAUCCAGCUUAAUCAUAGGAAAACCAAAACCAAAAAUAUAUAUAGUAAGAUAUAAGAUUAGUCACAACCGUGCCAAGCUCUGUAUUUAUUAAAGGCUUACUUACUUGUAUGUAUACCCUUGCAGUCCCCGUCAUGAUAGUCAGUCGCACUGUCACCGGUGAAACCCCUUUCCUAUGUAUCAAUAAUAUCAGGCUAUAUAUCAAUAUCAGCGGUGUCGCCUUCUAAUAAAAGGAAAUAAUAAUUACCUACCUUGUAAUUGCGGCCUUUCUUCCGCUAUCAUCAUACUGCUGUGGGUUUUCAUCAAAGGGACAUCUGGAAUAUGAUGAAGUUGAUAUUUGUGGAAAAUAAGACAUAGAUUAUUGGUAACAACACAAUCCUUUCAAAGCUUAGAGCAUCAGUCUAGCUAGCUGUUCCACACAGGACUAAAGAAAAUGGCAUUGGGCAUUUAUGCCAUGUACCUUUUUGGCAAGGCAGACAUAAUGAAAAAGAACAAGCACAUACGUUUCCUGUAUCAUAUUGCACGACUACAUUAAUCAGCUCAAAGGAAAACGUUUACUGAGUGCAUGCGUCAUCGAUAAAUCUGGCAAUAAUUCUGCUGCAUCACUGAACAAAGAUAAAGGUUAUAUUCCUAGAUGUUACCUAAAUGUAGCAAUCGAGAGUAUGUUGACAUAAUCAGAGAAUGAAGUAUAAAUUAAUGUUCACAAAUUUUGUAUAGAACAGAUGGUGGCAAAUGUGAAUUCCAUACUUGGAUCAUCAUUUGAUUACAGCAAAUUACCGAAUGUGCGGUAGCAUGCAUCCCUAAUCAUCAAUAAGCAUCCUAAUACAAAGAUAACUAAUAAUAAGCAGCCAAGUUAGCAUACGACCACACAAGCCAUAAUGACCAGCUGAACCAAUGUCUGCAGGAAAAAAACACUGAUUGCAGGUUUGGUAGCUUAAUUGAUGAUUAAAUGCAAUGUCUACACAAUUAACAGGAAGCCACCAUCAACUUAAUUGUGACAGCGCACCAGACUGCAUAUGAUUGUUUCAAU